AUACGUAGGGUGCGAGCGUUGUCCGGAAUUACUGGGCGUAAAGAGCUCGUAGGUGGUUUGUCGCGUCGUCUGUGAAAUUCCGGGGCUUAACUCCGGGCGUGGAGGCGAUACGGGCAUAACUUGAGUACUGUAGGGGAGACUGGAAUUCUUGGUGUAGCGGUGAAAUGCGCGGAUAUCAGGAGGAACACCGGUGGCGAAGGGGGGUCUCUGGGCAGUAACUGACGCUGAGGAGCGAAAGCAUGGGUAGCGAACAGGAUUAGAUACCCUGGUAGUCCAUGCCGUAAACGGUGGGCGCUAGGUGUAGGGGUCUUCCACGACUUCUGUGCCGUAGCUAACGCAUUAAGCGCCCCGCCUGGGGAGUACGGCCGCAAGGCUAAAACUCAAAUGAAUUGACGGGG
rnacentral:rRNA from 1 species